ensembl:snRNA U1 U1 spliceosomal RNA
AUACUUACCUGGCAGGGGAGACACCAUGAUCACGAAGGUGGUUUUCCCAGGGCGAGGCUUAUCCAUUGCACUCCGGAUGUGCUGGCCCCUGCGAUUUCCCCAAAUGUGGGAAACUCGACUGCAUAAUUUGUGGUAGUGGGGGACUGCGUUCGCGCUCUCCCCUG